AUUGAACGCUAGCGGGAUGCCUUACACAUGCAAGUCGAACGGCAGCGCGGACUUCGGUCUGGCGGCGAGUGGCGAACGGGUGAGUAAUGUAUCGGAACGUGCCCAGUAGCGGGGGAUAACUACUCGAAAGAGUAACUAAUACCGCAUACGCCCUACGGGGGAAAGGGGGGGAUCGCAAGACCUCUCACUAUUGGAGCGGCCGAUAUCGGAUUAGCUAGUUGGUGAGGUAAGGCUCACCAAGGCGACGAUCCGUAGCUGGUUUGAGAGGACGACCAGCCACACGGGGACUGAGACACGGCCCCGACUCCUACGGGAGGCAGCAGUGGGGAAUUUUGGACAAUGGGGGCAACCCUGAUCCAGCCAUUCCGCGUGUGCGAUGAAGGCCUUCGGGUUGUAAAGCACUUUUGGCAGGAAAGAAAUCGCACGGAUUAAUACUCUGUGUGGAUGACGGUACCUGCAGAAUAAGCACCGGCUAACUACGUGCCAGCAGCCGCCGUAA
rnacentral:rRNA from 1 species